UCCCUGUGUCCCCUCGGUGGCA
rnacentral:miRNA from 1 species